GGCGACAUGGCCGAGUGGUAAGGCGGGGGACUGCAAAUCCUUUUUCCCCAGUUCAAAUCCGGUGUCGCCU
rnacentral:tRNA from 1 species